rnacentral:misc_RNA from 1 species
AGCGAUCGCUUCUCUGAGCCAAAGCAAUGGCUUUAUAGCGUCCUAACGCAACAGAAACCAACGGCAGCAGGAGAACAUUUCCUGGUCCGAAACUCCCAAUUUGCAAGAACUAGGAAUUGUCUUGUUCUAUUGUAUUUUGAUCAAAUUUAAUCAAAUGAGAGGGUAAAAAUGGGCUCCGAUUCGAACUCCACGCCGGCAUCCACAUCCGCACCAACG